rnacentral:lncRNA from 1 species
GGCAGCACCACUGUGGCACACAGCUUGAGGCAGAGGAUUAGACCAGGUACCACUAUUUUGGCUGUUUUGUACUUGCGGAGCAGAAAGAAUGCUAAAGCAGGAAUGCAGGUGAUUCUGAAAGUCGGCCUUGAAGGGAUCACCACUAGAUAUUUUCCCUUAUGGUCUCUGCAGGACAAUAGACCAAGGAGAAGUUACAUUACACUGAUGAUCACAUAUUCAAUUUGUGGUUAACUAACAGACCCAAUCAAAAUUCACGGCUAUUUCAGAGAAGAUAUCCCUGUGUCUAUGCAGGUAAUUUUUUCUCAACUGAAGUAGUAGACUUUGCAUGUGUCCCUAAUCAUUUUCCUGGUUCUCCCCAGCCCCAACAUUUUAGGCUGUCAAAAUUAUUUGAAUCUUGAUUCUUGAUGUAUAGCCAUGUAUAUAGUGGACUUCUUCAUUGGGAUGUGUUGUGUGAGCAGCUAGUAUUCUGGGAAGUUAUAUCAUUGCUACCUAAUUCAGUAACUUAAGCCAAGCAUUUGUCUUCAUGAUGU